CGACAAGCUGUCUAGGGUUCCGUUGAAAGGCUGCAAGCGUGCUUGCGCCUUAUCAAGUCUGGUCCAAGAGACGGCGUACGGCGAGCGUGCACCCAUUGAGAGAUGGCGGCAACCGCUGUAUAACACGGAAGGAUAAAAGCCUGGGAGAU
rfam:Paenibacillus sp. Leaf72 contig_14, whole genome shotgun sequence.